CAGCUGAUGGCGCCGCCGGCCGCCGGCCGCUCGCUUGGGCCUCGCAGUCACCUGCUCGCUUCAUCAGACGGAUGUGUCAACGGGCUGCCUGCAGAGAAGUGAACAGCUUGUUUCAAGGCGUUCUGCAUUUGCUCCAGGAUGCAGCCGAGGACGCAGUUCUUCGACAAGUGGACGCCAGGAAAGACUGGAACUGUGUGAAUGAGGUGUUCUCUCCAAUGAAAGAGAAGCCUUCUGUACAGAUCUAUCAAAGUGUGAUACGUGGAAUUACAUUUAACGGAAAGUGGGAGACGUGAAUGAGGU